rnacentral:rRNA from 1 species
AUGUCUUUCCGCCUUGUCAAUGCUCCUCCAACAUUCUCUCGCAUGAUGAACUUCAUCUUCAACCCUUACACAAAUGAUUUCGUCCUGGUGUAUCUCAAUGAUAUCUUGGUCUUCUCCAAGAAUAAGGAGGAUCGUGCCAAGCAUUUGAGAUUGGUACUCGACAAACUCAGAGAGCAUCAAUUCUAUGCUAAGUUUUCCAAGUGUGAGUUCUGGCUUGACGAAGUUCUUUACCUUGGUCAUAUCAUCUCCGCCAAAGGCAUCGCUGUUAAUCCCGAGAAGGUGUCUGCAAUUGUGAAUUGGGAACCUCCUCAGAAUGUCAAGCAGCUCCGUAGUUUUCUUGGGCUUGCAAGCUAUUGUCGAAGAUUCAUUGAGAAUUUCUCUAAGAUUGCAAAGCCUCUUUCCAACCUCCUCUAG